CGUUAAGGUUGGGUGCUCCGGUGAUGACCAAAUUUACCUUCAAUGUCGUUCCAAUUCCUGAAAGCGGCUCCUGUGAGAUGCUGCACACCGUGUGGAGAUGAAGAGACAUCUGAGGAGCUUAGUUCGUUUUUUAAAUAGAUUAACGCUUUGAGAAUUCUUGUUUGUUAGUUUCUUCUUUUGCGCUGCACUGAAUCUGCUUUGAUAAGGCUCUUUACUCCUGUGAUGACUGAAUUUACAUCCUAUAUCGUUCCAAUUCCUGAAAGCAGCUCCUGUGAGAUGCUGCACAUCAUGUAGAGAUGAAGAGACAUCUGAGGAGCCUAGUUAAUUAUUAUUUUUUUGGGAAACUUUUUGUUUGUCAGUUUCCUUUGAUAUCGUUUGUUCAGUUUUCAAACUAUUUUUUUUUAUGUCGAAGUUUGGUUCCAUUUGAUGAUGCAAACAGGUCUAAAGCUUUAAGGCCUGUUUGCACUGUAGAAAUUCACAGAAAUCUUAUAGGAAACAACACUUGCCUUUUGGUUUUCCUGUGAGUGCUGUUGAAACUUUGCUUUGCUAUUUGGGUGCAACGUUCAAACAUUUAUGAGUGAUUGGGACAAACCACAGUGUGGAUUCAUGCUGUUAGUUCAUCAAUAGAAACACCAGAUGUUUAAAAGUUUGGGGACGCAGUAUUAUUUCUUAUAUAAUCCAUUGCUAUAUAUUGUUUACAUGUUUGUCUUUUUUAAAGCUUCAGUUCCUCAUUUGAGAGACCAGCAUUUUAUUGUUGCAGAUGAGGGCAGAUUAUGAUAAACAACACAAACCUGCAGAUGUCUUUUGCAGUCCUCCAUCGGAGGCUAGGUCGUGAGUCAUGAUGCAAGGUGCGGAGAUAAGUUUGAAGCUGGAAAACGUAUGCCUGCUUAAUUGAUCUCAAUCACAGCCCACUCAAGUACUAGUCCUGGUUCGACAGUUUACACACAGUGCUUGCUGAAUCCAUGUGAUGCAGCUCCAGGAAGUAAUGUGAACCACAGAUAUUUUCAGAAGAGCAUGAUUACAGCGUAUGUUUAAUUUCUUUUUACUAGCGCUGUCUUGAUUUUAUCAUUUUAUUAAU
rnacentral:lncRNA from 1 species